rnacentral:rRNA from 1 species
CACGUAGGCACCAAGCGUUGUCCGGAUUUAUUGGGCGUAAAGAGCUUGUAGGCGGUUCAGUAAGUCGGGUGUGAAAACUCUGGGCUCAACCCAGAGACGCCACCCGAUACUGCUGUGACUUGAGUACGGUAGGGGAGUGGGGAAUUCCUGGUGUAGCGGUGAAAUGCGCAGAUAUCAGGAGGAACACCAGUGGCGAAGGCGCCACUCUGGGCCGUAACUGACGCUGAGGAGCGAAAGCGUGGGUAGCAAACAGG